rnacentral:pre_miRNA from 21 species
UGUUUUGCUGUUGUCGGGUGGAUCACGAUGCAAUUUUGAUUAGUAUGAUAGGAGAAAAAUUGCACGGUAUCCAUCUGUAAACCGCAGG